rnacentral:rRNA from 1 species
ACGAACGCUGGCGGCGUGCUUCACACAUGCAAGUCGAACGGAAAGGCCCUGCUUUCGUGGGGUGCUCGAGUGGCGAACGGGUGAGUAACACGUGAGUAACCUGCCCUUGACUUUGGGAUAACUUCAGGAAACUGGGGCUAAUACCGGAUAGGAGCUCCUGCUGCAUGGUGGGGGUUGGAAAGUUUCGGCGGUUGGGGAUGGACUCGCGGCUUAUCAGCUUGUUGGUGGGGUAGUGGCUUACCAAGGCUUUGACGGGUAGCCGGCCUGAGAGGGUGACCGGCCACAUUGGGACUGAGAUACGGCCCAGACUCCUACGGGAGGCAGCAGUGGGGAAUAUUGCACAAUGGGCGGAAGCCUGAUGCAGCAACGCCGCGUGCGGGAUGACGGCCUUCGGGUUGUAAACCGCUUUCGCCUGUGACGAAGCGUGAGUGACGGUAAUGGGUAAAGAAGCACCGGCUAACUACGUG